rnacentral:rRNA from 1 species
GACAGAGGGUGCAAACGUUGUUCGGAAUUACUGGGCGUAAAGCGUGUGUAGGCGGCUACAUAAGUCGGAUGUGAAAGCCCCGGGCUCAACCCGGGAAGUGCACUCGAUACUGCGUAGCUUGAGUCUCGGAGAGGUUGGUGGAAUUCUCGGUGUAGAGGUGAAAUGCGUAGAUAUCGAGGGGAACACCUGCGGCGAUGGCGGGUUGCUGGGCUGACACUGACGCUGAUGUGCGAAAGCUAGGGGAGCGAACGGG